AUUGAACGCUGGCGGCAUGCCUUACACAUGCAAGUCGAACGGUAACGGGCCUUCGGGUGCCGCCGAGUGGCGAACGGGUGCGUAAUACAUCGGAACGUGCCCGAUCGUGGGGGAUAACGAGGCGAAAGCUUUGCUAAUACCGCAUACGAUCUACGGAUGAAAGCCGGGGACCGCAAGGCCUUGCGCGGACGGAGCGGCCGAUGGCAGAUUAGGUAGUUGGUGGGAUAAAAGCUUACCAAGCCGACGAUCUGUAGCUGGUCUGAGAGGAUGAUCAGCCACACUGGGACUGAGACACGGCCCAGACUCCUACGGGAGGCAGCAGUGGGGAAUUUUGGACAAUGGGCGCAAGCCUGAUCCAGCCAUGCCGCGUGCAGGAUGAAGGCCUUCGGGUUGUAAACUGCUUUUGUACGGAACGAAAAGCCUUCUUUUAAUACAGGAGGGUCAUGACGGUACCAUAAGAAUAAGCACCGGCUAACUACGUG
rnacentral:rRNA from 1 species